CAGCGCCACGAGUGGGGAUCCUGUUUAUUUGGCCUAAAGCGUCCGUAGCUGGUUUAGUAAAUCUUUUGUGAAAUCGUUAAGCUUAACUUAACGGCGUGCAGGAGAGACUGCUAGACUAGGGACCGGGAGGAGUCAGAGGUAUGCUGUGGGGAGCGGUAAAAUGCUAUAAUCCUCGGUAGACCACCGGUGGCGAAGGCGUCUGACUAGAACGGGUCCGACAGUGAGGGACGAAAGCCAGGGGAGCAAACCGGAUUAGAUACCCGAGUAGUCC
rnacentral:rRNA from 1 species